GACGAACGCUGGCGGCGUGCUUAACACAUGCAAGUCGAACGGAAAGGCCUGCUUUCCCUUGUGGUUUGCGGGUACUCGAGUGGCGAACGGGUGCGUAACACGUGAGUGAUCAGCCCCCAACUUGGGUAUAAGACUGGGAAACUGGGUCGAAUUCCCGAUAGGACUGCAGGGUGGUGCCGGUGGUGGCAAACGAUUUUCUAGUGGUUGGGGAUGAGCUCGCGGCCUAUCAGCUUGGUGGUGGGGUAAUGUCCUACAAAGGCGGCGACGGGGAGCCGGCCUGGGAGGGCGGACGGCCACAUUGGGACUGAGCUACGGCCCAGACGCCUACGGGAGGCAGCAGUGGGGAAUAUUGCACAAUGGGCGGAAGCCUGAUGCAGCGACGCCGCGUGGGGGAUGACGGCCUUCGGGUUGUAAACUCCUUUCGACCGCGAGGAAGCCACCUGGUUGGAAGGGUGGUGACGGUAGUGGUAGAAGAAGCACCGGCUAACUACGUG
rnacentral:rRNA from 1 species